CAGGACAUAAUUUAAGUAGAAUGCCGGCUUUGGGGGCCGGUAGUGAAGGUUUAAUUCCUUUUGUCUUGA
rnacentral:tRNA from 1 species